UCGCAUGAUGGUGUGGGAAAGGGUUUACCGGCAUGGGAUGGGGUCGCGUCCUAUCAGCUUGUUGGCGGGGUGAUGGCCUGCCAAGGCUUCGACGGGUAGCCGGCCUGAGAGGGCGACCGGCCACAUUGGGACUGAGAUACGGCCCAGACUCCUACGGGAGGCAGCAGUGGGGAAUAUUGCACAAUGGGCGAAAGCCUGAUGCAGCGACGCCGCGUGCGGGAUGACGGCCUUCGGGUUGUAAACCGCUUUUGAUUGGGAGCAAGCGAGAGUGAGUGUACCUUUCGAAUAAGCACCGGCUAACUACGUGCCAGCAGCCGCGGUAAUACGUAGGGUGCAAGCGUUAUCCGGAUUUAUUGGGCGUAAAGAGCUCGUAGGCGGUUCGUCGCGUCUGGUGUGAAAGUCCAUCGCUUAACGGUGGAUCGGCGCCGGGUACGGGCGGACUGGAGUGCGGUAGGGGAGACUGGAAUUCCCGGUGUAACGGUGGAAUGUGUAGAUAUCGGGA
rnacentral:rRNA from 1 species